rnacentral:rRNA from 1 species
UACGUAGGGGGCGAGCGUUGUCCGGAUUUAUUGGGCGUAAAGAGCUCGUAGGCGGUUUGGUAAGUCGGGUGUGAAAUCUCCACGCUCAACGUGGAGGGGCCACUCGAUACUGCCAUGACUCGAGUCCGGUAGAGGAGUGUGGAAUUCCCGGUGUAGCGGUGAAAUGCGCAGAUAUCGGGAGGAACACCCGUAGCGAAGGCAGAUCUCUGGGCCGUAACUGACGCUGAGGAGCGAAAGCAUGGGGAGCGAACAGG